rnacentral:rRNA from 1 species
UACGUAGGGUGCAAACGUUGCUCGGAAUCAUUGGGCGUAAAGCGCACGUAGGCGGUCUGUUAUGUCGGAUGUGAAAGCCCUUGGCUUAACUGAGGAAGUGCAUCCGAAACUGGCAGGCUAGAGUACUAAAGAGGGUCGCGGAAUUCCCGGUGUAGAGGUGAAAUUCGUAGAUAUCGGGAGGAACACCGGUGGCGAAGGCGGCGACCUGGGUAGAUACUGACGCUGAGGUGCGAAAGCGUGGGGAGCAAACAGG